UACAGAGGCCUCGAGCGUUAGGCGGAAUCACUGGGCUUAAAGCGUGUGUAGGCGGACUUCUAAGUACCUUGUGAAAUCCCACGGCUCACCCGUGGAACUGCUUGGUAUACUGGUUGUCUUGAGCCUUCUAGGGGCGAGUGGAACAAAUGGUGGAGCGGUGAAAUGCGUAGAUAUCAUUUGGAACGCCAAUGGUGAAAACAACUCGCUGGGGAAGUGCUGACGCUGAGACGCGAAAGCGUGGGGAGCGAACAGG
rnacentral:rRNA from 1 species